rnacentral:rRNA from 1 species
ACGUCCGUCGUGAAGAGGGAAACAACCCAGACCGCCAGCUAAGGUCCCAAAGUCAUGGUUAAGUGGGAAACGAUGUGGGAAGGCCCAGACAGCCAGGAUGUUGGCUUAGAAGCAGCCAUCAUUUAAAGAAAGCGUAAUAGCUCACUGGUCGAGUCGGCCUGCGCGGAAGAUGUAACGGGGCUAAACCAUGCACCGAAGCUGCGGCAGCGACGCUUAUGCGUUGUUGGGUAGGGGAGCGUUCUGUAAGCCUGCGAAGGUGUGCUGUGAGGCAUGCUGGAGGUAUCAGAAGUGCGAAUGCUGACAUAAGUAACGAUAAAGCGGGUGAAAAGCCCGCUCGCCGGAAGACCAAGGGUUCCUGUCCAACGUUAAUCGGGGCAGGGUGAGUCGACCCCUAAGGCGAGGCCGAAAGGCGUAGUCGAUGGGAAACAGGUUAAUA